rnacentral:rRNA from 1 species
GGUCAAGCUACUAAGAGUGUACGGUGGAUGCCUUGGCAUCAGCAGGCGAUGAAGGGCGUGGUAAGCUGCGAUAAGCCUCGGGUAGUCGCACACAGACGCUAAUCCGAGGAUGCCCGAAUGGGGAAACCCGAUCCGAGUCAUGUCGGAUCAUCGCUGGGUGAAUACAUAGCCCAGAUGAGGCUAACCGGGGGAACUGAAACAUCUCAGUACCUCGAGGAAAAGAAAGCAACCGCGAUUCCCUAAGUAGCGGCGAGCGAAAGGGGAUGAGCCUAAACCGGCGGCGUGUGAUAGCCCGUAUGCGUUGCGUCGACGGGGUUGAGGGGUCUUGCCUGAUUCUAGUACGGUAGAGUCGAAGAGUGAUAAAUCUCACUCCUAAUUGAACGAUCUGGAAAGGUCGGCCAUAGAAGGUGACAGCCCUGUAGAGUAAAGGAGUGAGACUCUUUGCGCAGGAUACCCAAGUACCAUAGGACACGUGAAAUCCUGUGGGAAUCCGGGGGGACCGCCCUCCAAGGCUAAACACUCGCUGAUGACCGAUAGUGAACCAGUACCGUGAGGGAAAGGUGAAAAGCACCCCUGUGAGGGGAGUGAAAUAGUACCUGAAACCGUACACUUACAAGCAGUCGAAGGGCUAUGCUCGCCGCAAGGCGAGAAUGCCUGACGGCGUGCCUUUUGCUUAAUGAGCCGGCGAGUUACUUGUACGCAGCAAGGUUAAGCCGCGAGGCGGAGCCGUAGCGAAAGCGAGUCCGAAUAGGGCGAUUGAGUUGCGUGCAGUAGACCCGAAGCCAGGUGAGCUACCCCUGGCCAGAGUGAAGUGCCGGUAACACGGCAUGGAAGCUCGAACUCAUCACGGUUGAAAACGUGUGGGAUGAGCUGGGGGUAGGAGUGAAAGGCCAAUCAAACCUGGAAAUAGCUGGUUCUCCCCGAAAUAGCUUUAGGGCUAGCCUCGCAACGUAAGUGGCGGAGGUAGAGCACUGGAUGAGCUAGGGCUCUCACAAGGGUACCAAACUCAACCAAACUCCGAAUGCCGUCAACUGGAAUUGCGGGAGUCAGACUGUGGGGGCUAAGCUCCAUGGUCGAGAGGGAAACAGCCCAGACCACCAGCUAAGGUCCUGGAGUGCAGGCUAAGUGGGAAAGGAUGUCAGAUUACUUAGACAACCAGGAGGUUGGCUUAGAGGCAGCCAUCCUUUAAAGAGUGCGUAACAGCUCACUGGUCAAGUGUUCUGGCGCCGAUAAUGUAACGGGGCUCAAGCCUGCCACCGACGCUGUGGGAUUUCGUUCGCUUCGGCGAAUGGAUUCGGUAGGGGAGCAUUCUGCAAUCAGUGAAGCUGGACGGUGACGACCGGUGGAGAGUGCAGAAGCGAUUAUGCCGGCCUAAGUAACGAUAAACUAGGUGAAAAACCUAGUCGCCGUAAAUCUAAGGUUUCCUGGGGAAGGUUAAUCCGCCCAGGGUUAGUCGGUUCCUAAGCUGAGGCCUAAGGGCGUAAGCGAAGGGCAACAGGUUAAUAUUCCUGUACUACUGGACGACGACAAAGACGCGAUGGGGGGACGCAGAAGGGUAGGCCAUGCCCGUGUCGGACAUCGGGCUCUAAGCCGGUAGGGGGUCUCGACAGGCAAAUCCGUUGAGACAUUAACCCUGAGAGGUGACGGGGAGGCCGUAAGGCCACAAACUGGCUCAGCCCAUGCUGCCAAGAAAAGCCUCUAGCGAGUCGUUCGGUAACCGUACCGCAAACCGACUCAGGUAGACAGGGAGAGUAUCCCAAGGCGCUCGAGAGAACACUCGCUAAGGAACUCGGCAAAAUAGCCCCGUAACUUCGGGAAAAGGGGUACCAUACCGGGGUGAGCAGGUUCACCCUGCAAAGCCCCGGGAGGUCGCAGUGAAUCGGGCCAAGCGACUGUUUAAUAAAAACACAGGUCCGUGCUAAGCCGAAAGGCGAUGUAUACGGACUGACGCCUGCCCGGUGCCGGACGGUUAACAGGAGGGGUCAUUCGCCGCAAGGCGGAAAAGCUCUGAAUCGAAGCCCCGGUAAACGGCGGCCGUAACUAUAACGGUCCUAAGGUAGCGAAAUUCCUUGUCGGGUAAGUUCCGACCUGCACGAAUGGCGUAACGACUUGGCCGCUGUCUCAGCGAGUGGCUCGGUGAAAUUGUAGUACCGGUGAAGAUGCCGGUUACCCGCAGCUAGACGGAAAGACCCCGUGAACCUUUACUGUAGCUUGGCAUUGGAUCUUGGUGUGGUUUGUGUAGGAUAGGUGGGAGGCUUUGAAGCGGGGGCGCUAGCCCUCGUGGAGCCAUCCUUGAAAUACCACCCUUUCUACUCUGGGCUUCUAACCCGGACCUGUGAAGCCAGGUCGGGGACAAUGUCAGGUGGGCAGUUUGACUGGGGCGGUCGCCUCCUAAAGAGUAACGGAGGCGCCCAAAGGUUCCCUCAGCACGGUCGGCAAUCGUGCGUUGAGUGCAAAGGCAUAAGGGAGCUUAACUGCGAGACCUACAAGUCAAGCAGGUGCGAAAGCAGGGCUUAGUGAUCCGGUGGUCCCGAGUGGAAGGGCCAUCGCUCAACGGAUAAAAGGUACUCCGGGGAUAACAGGCUUAUCUCCCCCAAGAGUCCACAUCGACGGGGAGGUUUGGCACCUCGAUGUCGGCUCAUCGCAUCCUGGGGCUGAAGCAGGUCCCAAGGGUUGGGCUGUUCGCCCAUUAAAGCGGUACGCGAGCUGGGUUUAGAACGUCGUGAGACAGUUCGGUCCCUAUCUGCUGCGGGCGUAGGAGAUUUGCGGGGAUCUGUCCCUAGUACGAGAGGACCGGGAUGGACGAACCUCUAGUGUGCCAGUUGUUCUGCCAAGGGCAUCGCUGGGUAGCUAUGUUCGGAAGGGAUAAACGCUGAAAGCAUCUAAGUGCGAAGCCCACCCCAAGAUGAGAUCUCCCGGGCGAAAGCCCCUAAAGACUCCUUGCAGAUCACAAGGUUGAUAGGCCAGGUGUGUAAGCGCAGGAAUGCGUUUAGCUUACUGGUACUAAUCGGUCGUGCGGCUUGACCCCAAUUU